UACGAAGGGGGCUAGCGUUGCUCGGAAUCACUGGGCGUAAAGCGCACGUAGGCGGCUUCUUAAGUCAGGGGUGAAAUCCUGGAGCUCAACUCCAGAACUGCCUUUGAUACUGAGGAGCUUGAGUCCGGGAGAGGUGAGUGGAACUGCGAGUGUAGAGGUGAAAUUCGUAGAUAUUGGGAAGAACACCAGUGGCGAAGGCGGCUCACUGGUCCGAUACUGACGCUGAGGUGCGAAAGCGUGGGGAGCAAACAGG
rnacentral:rRNA from 1 species